rnacentral:rRNA from 1 species
AUGCAGUCGAGCGGAACGAUGGGAGCUUGCUCCCAGGCGUCGAGCGGCGGACGGGUGAGUAACACGUGGGAAUCUGCCCAUUAGUGGGGGAUAACUCGGGGAAACUCGAGCUAAUACCGCAUAAUCCCUACGGGGGAAAGCAGGGGAUCUUCGGACCUUGCGCUGAUGGAUGAGCCCGCGUCGGAUUAGCUUGUUGGUGGGGUAAUGGCCCACCAAGGCGACGAUCCGUAACUGGUCUGAGAGGAUGGCCAGUCACACCGGGACUGAGACACGGCCCGGACUCCUACGGGAGGCAGCAGUGGGGAAUCUUGGACAAUGGGCGCAAGCCUGAUCCAGCCAUGCCGCGUGUGUGAAGAAGGCCUUCGGGUUGUAAAGCACUUUCAGUAGGGAGGAAGGCUUUGGGCUAAUACCCUGGAGUACUUGACGUUACCUACAGAAGAAGCACCGGCUAAUUUCGUGCCAGCAGCCGCGGUAAUACGAAAGGUGCGAGCGUUAAUCGGAAUUACUGGGCGUAAAGCGCGCGUAGGCGGUGUGUUAAGUCGGAUGUGAAAGCCCAGGGCUCAACCUUGGAAUUGCAUCCGAUACUGGCACGCUAGAGUGCAGUAGAGGGAGGUGGAAUUUCCGGUGUAGCGGUGAAAUGCGUAGAGAUCGGAAGGAACACCAGUGGCGAAGGCGGCCUCCUGGACUGACACUGACGCUGAGGUGCGAAAGCGUGGGGAGCAAACAGGAUUAGAUACCCUGGUAGUCCACGCUGUAAACGAUGUCUACUAGCCGUUGGGGUCCUUAGUGACUUUGGUGGCGCAGCUAACGCGAUAAGUAGACCGCCUGGGGGAGUACGGCCCGCAAGGUUAAAACUCAAAUGAAUUGACGGGGGCCC